rnacentral:lncRNA from 1 species
CAUGUAUCAUCCAAAUUUUAUUAAGGGUUCACUUUAUCAGAUCAUUAAGGUUACACUUAAGGUUCACAUAUGUUGAACAAUAUGCCAAUGUAUUAUCUCAUGAAGUAACUCAGAAAUAGAAAACUAAAUUAAAAAAAAAAAAAACCCAACUGAAUCCUUCAUAAACUAAGCACCAGUUCAAGGAAGGUUCAUCUCUGUUUAACUGAGGGGCUUCCCCAAAUGUAUAUGUUGCUUUCUUGUGGAAUACAAAUAUCAGCAAAAUGAAUAGAAUCAGUUUCCAAAAUAAUCGUGUCCAGAGAUCAGCUGUUCUUUGCCUUGGACAAGAGGCUUUUCAGUGUGAUGCACGAUGGAGUUGUGGCUUCCAAGUAGGAUGUCCUUUUGGGGGCACAUGAUGACAUUUUGAGGGAUGAAAUAUGAGGAACGGUUGUCAGGUAACAUCCAGAGCUCACCUUCAGAACACUCCAUCAUAGAUAGAAUGGCGUGUGCGUUCAUCAUGCAGCACAUGUGAAGGAACCUGGAAGGGGUGAAUCAGGUCAAGGACGAGGGGCUCAUUUCAGUCCUCUUCCACCUUUUUAGUGGGUUUUACUUUUCAGAAUGAAACCUGGGAGCAAACGGCACAGCACACUCCUGAUGACGGGGAGGGAGGAGCCGCCCGGCUGCCUGGCCUGUGGCACACACGAGGGGAAGUGUUGUGCCUGCUCAGGGCUGACCCAUGCGGGCACACAGAUGCCCACCCCUGCGAUGCGGCAGGCAGUGCGUGUCACAGCCAGGUCCCGUGGCUUCCCGGCCCUUCCCCACACAGGCCCUGCUCCCAUUCCUCCUCAGCUCACCCUCAGCUGCCUCCACACCCUCACCCUCACUCGCACAGGUGCUGCAUCAAAAACCGGCUGACCCAUGCGGGCACACAGAUGCCCACCCCUGCGAUGCGGCAGGCAGUGCGUGUCACAGCCAGGUCCCGUGGCUUCCCG